GCCGCGAGAGUGAAGAAGGUUUUCGGAUUGUAAAGCUCUGUUAGCAGGGAAGAGGAAGGACGGUACCUGCAUAGGAAGCCACGGCUAACUACGUGCCAGCAGCCGCGGUAAUACGUAGGUGGCAAGCGUUGUUCGGAAUAACUGGGCGUAAAGGAUGCGUAGGCGGUUGGGUAAGUUAUGUGUUAAAUAUAUAGGCUUAACCUGUAGAAAGCACAUAAAACUGUUUAACUAGAGUGCAGGAGAGGUAAGUGGAAUUCCUAGUGUAGCGGUGAAAUGCGUAGAGAUUAGGAAGAACACCAGUGGCGAAGGCGACUUACUGGACUGUAACUGACGCUGAGGCAUGAGAGCAUGGGGAGCAAACAGGAUUAGAUACCCUGGUAGUCCAUGCUGUAAACGAUGGGUACUAGGUGUGGGUUGUGAAUAACAACCCGUGCCGUCGCAAACGCAAUAAGUAUCCCGCCUGAGGAGUACGAUCGCAAGAUUAAAACUCAAAGGAAUUGACGGGGACCCGCACAAGCAGCGGAGCAUGUGGUUUAAUUCGAAGCAACGCGAAGAACCUUACCUAAACUUGACAUACCUUGAAUUACCUUGUAAUGAGGGAAGCCCGCAAGGGCAAGGAUACAGGUGGUGCAUGGUUGUCGUCAGCUCGUGUCGUGAGAU
rnacentral:rRNA from 1 species